rnacentral:sRNA from 1 species
UCCCGGUCAGGUUAAAACCACAAUUCAC